GCGGGUGUAGCUCAGUGGUAGAGCAUUGGCUUCCCAAGCCAUGUGCGAGGGUUCGAUUCCCUUCACCCGCUCCA
rnacentral:tRNA from 1 species